GUGCGGACCUCUGGAGCUGCCUCAGCGGGACCGGGAAUGGGAGCGGGACCGGCCCCUCCCGGCCGGGUCAUGGCGAAGCUGAGAGGCCCCUCGGUGUCGGGAAGGCGAUGCUGGCCGAGGAACGCCCGCCCGGGCGGGCCGCGCUGCCCUUGCCGCGCCGUGUUGUGGCGGAGCUCCCUGAGGGCCGGCCCCGCUCGGCCCCGGCGCUGAGCGGCCCCGGGAGGGCGAUGUGAGGGGCACAGUGAAGCCCAUCAGCAGGCAAAAAAUGAAGGGGCCAAGACUGUGUGUCUUCAGAAAAGAAGGGUGAUGCUUCACACAAAGGCUGCCCACCAGAUGCCUUUGUUAACACUGCUUUCCAAGAGACAAAGCCACGUGACUGGCAGAGCAGGAGGUGUCCUGGACCCGAGUUUUCUUUUGAGAGCAAGGCUGAGUUCUGGAAUGAUCUUCAAAUGUUGAAGGUCAUGGCCUGAGUUUCAGAAUUCCACUUUCAGACAAAAGUAGCAAAAGAAGCGAUUGGCGGUGUCUGCAUGUGAAGAUUUGCAGAUUCCUCAAAAGCUGAUCAUCUGUGUUUUGUCUACAUGGCUAAGAAGGAUUUAAAAAAAACCAAAA